rnacentral:rRNA from 1 species
GACGAACCGUGCGAACGUUGUUCGGAAUUACUGGGCGUAAAGCGCACGUAGGCGGAUCGAUCAGUCAGGGGUGAAAUCCCAGGGCUCAACCCUGGAACUGCCUUUGAUACUGUCGAUCUGGAGUAUGGAAGAGGUGAGUGGAAUUCCGAGUGUAGAGGUGAAAUUCGUAGAUAUUCGGAGGAACACCAGUGGCGAAGGCGGCUCACUGGUCCAUUACUGACGCUGAGGUGCGAAAGCGUGGGGAGCAAACAGG